GACGAACGCUGGCGGCGUGCCUAACACAUGCAAGUCGAACGGGGUCAGCCCUUCGGGACUGACUUAGUGGCGAACGGGUGAGUAACGCGUGAGGAACCUGCCUCUCAGUGGGGGACAACAGUUGGAAACGACUGCUAAUACCGCAUAACACUUUAGAAUCGCAUGAUACAGAAGUCAAAGAUUUAUUGGUGAAAGAUGGGCUCGCGUCCCAUUAGCUAGUUGGCAGGGUAACAGCCUACCAAGGCAACGAUGGGUAGCCGACCUGAGAGGGUGAUCGGCCACACUGGAACUGAGACACGGUCCAGACUCCUACGGGAGGCAGCAGUGGGGAAUAUUGGGCAAUGGGGCGAAAGCCUGACCCAGCAACGCGCGUGAAGGAAGAAGUCUUCGGAUUGUAAACUUUUAGUUGUCAGCGAAGAAAAGGACUGUAACUGACGAGAAAGCCCCGGCUAACUACGUG
rnacentral:rRNA from 1 species